UGAUGUGAUGAGGGUCUUUCCCACCAUGUCCCUUGAUGCCUCAUUAAUCAACAGUGUUGAUUCAGCACCUGGCUGGCUAAGCAGGAGUCUCGUGCUUCUUUAACCACUCUACAUGUGCCUGAUCUGUGGAAGAGGACCAUUUUUAGCCAACGAAAUACUAGCAGCUGUGCUCCCUGCUAGAACCCCCAAACAAACUCUCAAGGAUAAAGGAAUAUGCUUGAGGAUCUCAUGUCAGAGACCAUAGGAAUCAUCAUUAUGGCCACCCCAUAGGUGGUGGGU
ensembl:misc_RNA 7SK 7SK RNA